rnacentral:rRNA from 1 species
UACGGAGGGGGCUAGCGUUGUUCGGAAUUACUGGGCGUAAAGCGCACGUAGGCGGCUUUGUAAGUUAGAGGUGAAAGCCUGGGGCUCAACCCCAGAAUUGCCUUUAAGACUGCAGAGCUAGAAGGUGAGAGAGGUGAGUGGAAUUCCGAGUGUAGAGGUGAAAUUCGUAGAUAUUCGGAAGAACACCAGUGGCGAAGGCGGCUCACUGGCUCAUUCUUGACGCUGAGGUGCGAAAGCGUGGGGAGCAAACAGG